rnacentral:rRNA from 1 species
CCCUUAGAUGUUCUGGGCCGCACGCGCGCUACACUGACGGAGGCAGCGAGCAUGUCCUUCGCCGAGAGGUGUGGGGAAUCUUGUGAGUCUCCGUCGUGCUGGGGAUAGAUGGUUGCAAUUGUCGAUCUUGAACGAGGAAUUCCUAGUAAGCGCGAGUCAUCAGCUCGCGCUGAUUACGUCCCUGCCCUUUGUACACACCGCCCGUCGCUUCUACCGAUUGAGUGUCUCGGUGAAUACUUUGGACUGCUUUCUUAUCGGUUCGCCGAUUUGCUAAGCGGAAAAUUGAGUGAACCUCGACACUUAGAGGAAGAAGAAGUCGUAACA